rnacentral:rRNA from 1 species
CCUACGGGUGGCAGCAGUGAGGAAUAUUGGUCACUGGGCGCGAGCCUGACCCAGCCAAGUAGCGUGAAGGAUGACUGCCCUACGGUUUGUAAACUUCUUUUAUAAAGGAAUAAAGUGAGGCACGUAUCCCUUUUUGUAUGUAUUUUAUAAAUAAGGAUCGGCUAACUCCGUUCCAGCCGCCGCGGUACGACGGCGGAUCCGUGCGUUAUCCGGAUUUAUUGGGUUUAAAGGGAGCGUAGAUGGGUUGUUAAGUCAGUUGUGAAAGUUUGCGGCUCAACCGGAAAAGUGCAAUUGAUACUGGCAGCCUUGAGUACAGUUGAGGUAGGAGGAAUUCGUGGUGUAGCGGUGAAAUGCUUAGAUAUCACGAAGAACUCCGAUGGCGAAGGCAGCCUACUAAUCUGCCACUGACAUUGAUGCUCGAAAGUGUGGGUAUCAAACAGGAUUAGAUACCCCUGUAGUC